CACAACUUGGCUAUAGUUUUCUAACAGCCUUGUCUACACAUGUAACCAGUUUACUCUUAAGUCCCUGGAUUAGUUAGUCAAAAGGUGCUCUAGAGAAACAGAACCAAAGAAUGUGUAUACAGAGGCAUAUUUAUUUCAAAGAAUUGGCUCAUGUAAUUGUGAAAGCUUGGUUAAGGCCAAAAUUAAGCAGGGCAGAGACUUAGGAAAGAGUUGCAGUUGUGUUCAAAAGCAGUCAGCUGGCUGAAUUUAUCCUCACUUGGAAAAGCUCCUGUUAUUCCAGUUGAGGAGAGACCAUAUCACAUUCUAGAGAUGGCUGCAUGCAAGCAUUUGAAACCUUUGAGAGAAUACAGUGCACCCUGGAGACUAUUAUUAUGACUAUUGGGAGAAUAAUAUCAAGAGUUUGGAAUAUGCUCCUUCCUCAGGAUCCCCAUAAAACAAACCUCCUAAAAUCAAAUGGAUCAAAUAAUGAGCUAGAUAAAGAAUGUACUCACUUGACUAAGCAAUUUCUUCAUCACUCCUCUACCACUGAAUUUCUAUAAUCUUCAUUUGAUGUAUUUCUCUAUAGGCCACAAGUGCCAGCAGCUGCACAGAUACUUCUCUGUUUAGCGAAUUUUGUCAUAACUUUCACAAGAAAAUUUAGAGUCUAUUCUGUAACUGUAGCCUUUACAGUAGAAUCUGCCAUAGAGCCUGUCAUGAGGGAUUAAAUUUCUAGUCAUUGCAUAGUUUACUUUAAA
rnacentral:lncRNA from 10 species